rfam:Erinaceus europaeus unplaced genomic scaffold scaffold00063, whole genome shotgun sequence
AGAUCUGAAGGUGAUCUAGCUGUGAUAUCUGUCAUCCACAGAUGGCCAGGUUUGGUUUGGUUGAUCUAGCAGAUUAAGCAGGUGUCUCCUUUUCUCCUUCACUGCUCCAUUGAUGUCCUUCAUGAAGCUGCACGUUAAGUCAAAGAGGACUACCUGUCCUGAACAGAGAAACACUGAUCUUUGUCAGAGGGUGCAUGAGUAGCUGGACUUCCCUUCUAGAUCUUCCAAACUCUCAAGAGCAUAAAAGGCAAAAAAAAAAAAAAAAAAGUAGAAGAAGAUAAAAUAAGAAAGAGCAUGAACAUUCUAGCAAUUAUUAGAAAGUGCCUACAUACUA